rnacentral:misc_RNA from 1 species
AAAGUGUAGACUCGAAGGGAGGAAGCUGCAGUUGCAGGACGAAGGCGAUCCAUACACAGCUCAAUUUAGCUGCAACUUUCAUCCACGCCCAUUCUCUAAUUAUUUUGUUAUUUUGUUAAUAAACAGAAGAAAAAAGGAGGUACAAGCUUCAGGGAGAUAGACUCAUGGAUUUAAUGGAGGUUUGGGCGAUCUUCGGGCCCGGAGUCGCUGGCGCCGUGUUCGGCGCUGGCUGGUGGUUCUGGAUUGACGCCGUCGUUUGCAGUUCCGUCAAAGUCUCUUUUGUUCAUUACCUCCCAGGCAUUUUUGCAUCUAUUGCUGCUCUAAUGUUUAAUUGCGUUAGGAAAGAAGAUAUUGAUUAUUCUCCAUAUGAAGAAGGCGAGUGGAGAUUGAAGCUUUGGCUUUUCUUUGCAUAUGUUGUAUCCUUCAUUUCUCUAGCAGCAUCAGUGGGCUUAUUAAUACAAGAUUCAAUUGUCAAAACUGGACCUUCAGUUUGGACAGGAACUGCCGGUGUGUUGCAGUGUGUGCUUGUGUUGAUCAGUGGGCUGAUUUAUUGGACUUCGCACUCAGAAUAAGUUGUGCCGAAUCAGUACAUAUGCCUUUUGGAGCUUGAAACUGCAUGUAUCAUUUACUUACUAAAUCAAUGGGAUGAAAAAAUCAGCCUGUGUACAUGUUUAUGCUGUGCUAGCAAUCUUGAGUUGCCUAACAAUAUUGAGCAUCAGUGGUAAACCCGUGCAACUUUUAUGGAAUUUGUGAUGGUUUCGCAACAAAUUCUAAUGCUCUGGUUUAUCUAGAUCGGUUAUUCAUCAUUAUGGUUUAGUUCCCAUCAUUUAUUCUAUGCUUUAUAGUGCUGCGAGGCGAAUCCUUACCAAUUUUC